rnacentral:rRNA from 1 species
UGGGGAAUUUUGGACAAUGGGGGAAACCCUGAUCCAGCCAUGCCGCGUGUGUGAAGAAGGCCUUCGGGUUGUAAAGCACUUUCGGACGGAACGAAAUCGCAAGGGUGAAUAUCCCUUGUGGAUGACGGUACCGUAAGAAGAAGCACCGGCUAACUACGUGCCAGCAGCCGCGGUAAUACGUAGGGUGCGAGCGUUAAUCGGAAUUACUGGGCGUAAAGCGUGCGCAGGCGGCUUCGCAAGUCAGACGUGAAAGCCCCGGGCUUAACCUGGGAAUGGCGUUUGAAACUACGGAGCUCGAGUGUGGCAGAGGGAGGUAGAAUUCCACGUGUAGCAGUGAAAUGCGUAGAUAUGUGGAGGAAUACCGAUGGCGAAGGCAGCCUCCUGGGCCAACACUGACGCUCAUGCACGAAAGCGUGGGGAGCAAACAGG